UACAGGGGUCUCAAGCGUUGUUCGGAUUCAUUGGGCGUAAAGGGUGCGUAGGUGGCGCCAUAAGUCGGGUGUGAAAUCUCGGGGCUUAACUCCGAAACUGCAUUCGAUACUGUGGUGCUUGAGGACUGGAGAGGAGACUGGAAUUCAUGGUGUAGCAGUGAAAUGCGUAGAGAUCAUGAGGAAGACCAGUGGCGAAGGCGGGUCUCUGGACAGUUCCUGACACUGAGGCACGAAGGCCAGGGGAGCAAACGGG
rnacentral:rRNA from 1 species